rnacentral:rRNA from 1 species
AGUGAACGCUGGCGGUAGGCCUAACACAUGCAAGUCGAACGGCAGCACAGUAAGAGCUUGCUCUUACGGGUGGCGAGUGGCGGACGGGUGAGGAAUACAUCGGAAUCUACUUUUUCGUGGGGGAUAACGUAGGGAAACUUACGCUAAUACCGCAUACGACCUACGGGUGAAAGCAGGGGAUCUUCGGACCUUGCGCGAUUGAAUGAGCCGAUGUCUGAUUAGCUAGUUGGCGGGGUAAAGGCCCACCAAGGCGACGCUCCGUAGCUGGUCUGAGAGGAUGAUCAGCCACACUGGAACUGAGACACGGUCCAGACUCCUACGGGAGGAAGCAGUGGGGAAUAUUGGACAAUGGGCGCAAGCCUGAUCCAGCCAUACCGCGUGGGUGAAGAAGGACUUCGGGUUGUAAAGCCCUUUUGUUGGGAAAGAAAAGCAGCAGGUUAAUACCCCGCUGUUCUGACGGUACCCAAAGAAUAAGCACCGGCUAACUUCGUG